rnacentral:rRNA from 1 species
UACGGGGGGGGGCAAGCGUUGUUCGGAAUUACUGGGCGUAAAGGGCUCGUAGGUGGCCAACUAAGUCGGACGUGAAAUCCCUCAGCUUAACUGGGGAACUGCGUCCGAUAUUGGAUGGCUUGAGUUUGGGAGAGGGAUGCGGAAUUCCAGGUGUAGCGGUGAAAUGCGUAGAUAUCUGGAGGAACACCGGUGGCGAAGGCGGCAUCCUGGACCAACACUGACACUGAGGAGCGAAAGCCAGGGGAGCAAACGGG